GAUGAACGCUGGCGGCGUGCCUAAUACAUGCAAGUCGAGCGAACGGACGAGAAGCUUGCUUCUCUGAUGUUAGCGGCGGACGGGUGAGUAACACGUGGAUAACCUACCUAUAAGACUGGGAUAACUUCGGGAAACCGUAGCUAAUACCGGAUAAUAUUUUGAACCGCAUGGUUCAAAAGUGAAAGACGGUCUUGCUGUCACUUAUAGAUGGAUCCGCGCUGCAUUAGCUAGUUGGUAAGGUAACGGCUUACCAAGGCAACGAUGCAUAGCCGACCUGAGAGGGUGAUCGGCCACACUGGAACUGAGACACCGUCCAGACUCCUACGGGAGGCAGCAGUAGGGAAUCUUCCGCAAUGGUCGAAAGCCUGACGGAGCAACGCCGCGUGAGUGAUGAAGGUCUUCGGAUCGUAAAACUCUGUUAUUAGUGAAGAACAUAUGUGUAAGUAACUGUGCACAUCUUGACGGUACCUAAUCAGAAAGCCACGGCUAACUACGUG
rnacentral:rRNA from 1 species